rnacentral:rRNA from 1 species
CCUACGGGAGGCAGCAGUGAGGAAUAUUGGUCAAUGGACGAGAGUCUGAACCAGCCAAGUAGCGUGAAGGAUGAAUGCCCUAUGGGUUGUAAACUUCUUUUAUAUGGGAAAAAAACAGGGUAUGCAUACCCUCUUGUGUGUACCAUAUGCAUAAGGAACGGCUAACACCGUACCAGCAGCCGCGGUAAAACGAGGGAUCCGAACGUUAUCCGGAUUUAUUGGGUUUAUAGGGAGCGUAGGUGGCUUGUUAAGUCAGUUGUGAAAGUUUGCGGCUCAACCGUAAAAUUGCAGUUGAACCGGGCAGUCUUGAGUACAGUAGAGGUGGGCGGAAUGCGUGGUGUAGCGGUGAAAUGCUUAGAUAUCACGAAGAACUCCGAUUGCGAAGGCAGCUCACUGGACUGCAACUGACACUGAUGCUCGAAAGUGUGGGUAUCAAACAGGAUUAGAUACCCCAGUAGUC